rnacentral:rRNA from 1 species
CCUACGGGAGGCAGCAGUAGGGAAUUUUCGUCAAUGGGCGCAAGCCUGAACGAGCGAUGCCGCGUGAGUGAAGAAGGCCUUCGGGUCGUAAAGCUCUGUUGCGGGGGAAAAAAGGCAGCAUCAGGAAAUGGGUGCUGACUGAUGGUGCCCCGCCAGAAAGUCACGGCUAACUACGUGCCAGCAGCCGAGGUAGUACGUAGGGGGCGAGCGUUAUCCGGAAUGAUUGGGCGUAAAGGGUGUGCAGGCGGUCCUGCAAGUCUGAAGUGAAACGCAUGGGCUCAACUCAUGCACGGCUUUGGAAACUGGAGGACUGGAGAGCAGGAGAGGGCAGUGGAACUCCAAGUGUAGCGGUAAAAUGCGUAGAUAUGUGGAAGAACACUAGUGGCGAAGGCGGCCGACUGGCCUGUAGCUGACGCUGAGGCACGAAAGCGCGGGGAGCAAAUAGGAUUAGAUACCCCAGUAGUC